rnacentral:rRNA from 1 species
AUUGAACGCUGGCGGCAGGCCUAACACAUGCAAGUCGAACGAGUGGCGGACGGGUGAGUAAUGUCUGGGAAACUGCCUGAUGGAGGGGGAUAACUACUGGAAACGGUAGCUAAUACCGCAUACCAUCAGAUGUGCCCAGAUGGGAUUAGCUAGUAGGUGGGGUAAUGGCUCCCCUAGGCGAAGAUCCCUAGCUGGUCUGAGAGGAUGACCAGCCACACUGGAACUGAGACACGGUCCAGACUCCAACGGGAGGCAGCGGUGGGGAUUAUUGCACAAUGGCGGCAAGCCGGAUGCGGCCAUCCCGGGUGUGUGAAGAAGGCCUUCGGGUUGUAAAGCACUUUCAGCGAGGAGGCUUUACUCGCAGAAGAAGCACCGGCUAACUCCGUGCCAGCAGCCGCGUAAUUC